rnacentral:rRNA from 1 species
ACGCUGGCGGCGUGCCUAAUACAUGCAAGUAGAACGCUGAAGAGAGGAGCUUGCUCUUCUUGGAUGAGUUGCGAACGGGUGAGUAACGCGUAGGUAACCUGCCUUGUAGCGGGGGAUAACUAAUGGAAACGAUAGCUAAUACCGCAUAACAAUGGAUGACCCAUGUCAUUUAUUUGAAAGGGGCAAAUGCUCCACUACAAGAUGGACCUGCGUUGUAUUAGCUAGUAGGUGAGGUAACGGCUCACCUAGGCGACGAUACAUAGCCGACCUGAGAGGGUGAUCGGCCACACUGGGACUGAGACACGGCCCAGACUCCUACGGGAGGCAGCAGUAGGGAAUCUUCGGCAAUGGGGGCAACCCUGACCGAGCAACGCCGCGUGAGUGAAGAAGGUUUUCGGAUCGUAAAGCUCUGUUGUAAGUCAAGAACGAGUGUGAGAGUGGAAAGUUCACACUGUGACGGUAGCUUACCAGAAAGGGACGGCUAACUACGUGCCAGCAGCCGCGGUAAUACGUAGGUCCCGAGCGUUGUCCGGAUUUAUUGGGCGUAAAGCGAGCGCAGGCGGUUUGAUAAGUCUGAAGUUAAAGGCUGUGGCUCAACCAUAGUUCGCUUUGGAAACUGUCAAACUUGAGUGCAGAAGGGGAGAGUGGAAUUCCAUGUGUAGCGGUGAAAUGCGUAGAUAUAUGGAGGAACACCGGUGGCGAAAGCGGCUCUCUGGUCUGUAACUGACGCUGAGGCUCGAAAGCGUGGGGAGCGAACAGGAUUAGAUACCCUGGUAGUCCACGCCGUAAACGAUGAGUGCUAGGUGUUGGAUCCUUUCCGGGAUUCAGUGCCGCAGCUAACGCAUUAAGCACUCCGCCUGGGGAGUACGACCGCAAGGUUGAAACUCAAAGGAAUUGACGGGGGCCCGCA